rnacentral:rRNA from 1 species
CCCCUAGUAACUGCGAGUGAAGCGGGAAAAGCUCAAAUUUGAAAUCUGGUGGUCCUGGACCAUCCGAGUUGUAAUCUAGAGAAGUGUUACCUGUGCUGGACCAUGUACAAGUCUUCUGGAAUGGAGCAUCGUAGAGGGUGAGAAUCCCGUCUUUGACAUGGACUGCCGGUGCGUUGUGGUAUGCUCUCGAAGAGUCGAGUUGUUUGGGAAUGCAGCUCAAAAUGGGUGGUAAAUGCCAUCUAAAGCUAAAUAUUGGCGAGAGACCGAUAGCGAACAAGUACCGUGAGGGAAAGAUGAAAAGAACUUUGGAAAGAGAGUUAAACAGUACGUGAAAUUGCUGAAAGGGAAACGCUUGAAGUCAGUCACGUCGGCUAGGAAUCAGCCUUGCUUCUGCUUGGUGCACUUUCUGGUUGAUGGGUCAGCAUCAAUUCUGGCCGCUGGAUAAAGUCACUGGGAAUGUGGCAUCCUUUCUUGGAUGUGUUAUAGCCCUCUGUCGCAUGCAGCGGUUGGGAUUGAGGAACUCAGCACGCCCUGCAAGGGGCCAGGUCUUGACCAUGUCCGUGCUUAGGAUGCUGGCAUAAUGGCUUCAAUCGACCCGUCUUGAAACACGGACCAAGGAGUCUAACAUGCCUGCGAGUGUUUGGGUGGAAAACCCGUGCGCGCAAUGAAAGUGAAAGUUGAGAUCUCUGUAAAGGGAGAGCAUCGACGCCCGGACCAGACCUUCUGCGACGGAUCCGCGGUGGAGCAUGCAUGUUGGGGACCCGAAAGAUGGUGAACUAUGCCUGAAUAGGGUGAAGCCAGAGGAAACUCUGGUGGAGGCUCGUAGCGAUUCUGACGUGCAAAUCGAUCGUCAAAUUUGGG